rnacentral:rRNA from 1 species
UAUAGCCUGGUUUUCUGCGAAAUCUGUUUUAGCAAAUUAUUUAUUUUAUUAUUAGUAGGUAUAGCACUGAAUAUUUUUUUUUUCAAUAAAGGGAGUAUUAAUUUACUUAUCUAAAAAAUUUAACCCCAAAAGGGCUAAAAAGUUAGGUAAAUAACCGGACUUUUUGCGAUAAGGAAUAAAGUCUAAAGGGAAACACCCCAAAACAGUAAAAAAAAAAGAAGGGCCCCCCAUUUAAAAUUAAGUGGAAAAUCCCAAAGUCNUUUUUUUUUGGCNNCCUUUNNGGGGGCUUGAAAACACCCCCCCCCUGGAACUUCUAAAAAACCUCCCAGGGGAUCUUUGCCAAGAGCGGGGCG